rnacentral:sRNA from 1 species
UACAAUAGUUAGGAAACUCAAGGGUGGUCAGUGUUACCCCGAUACGAAAGGGGGUGAUGCUUAUGAUGACAGUAUUUCAAACGUUAAUGCUCAUGAUUGCAUUCUCAAGUUUGGUAUUGUCAAUCAUUUCUUUUAGAGACAAAAAAUAACCCACCCUUGAGCCUAGCAGCGUAAUAGGGUGAGUUAUUAUUUACCAACAUGCUGAUCCCCUUGGUGGGAACCUAGCUAUUGUAUGACUGUUUGGUGUUCUAGCACCAAGC